rnacentral:rRNA from 1 species
UGAAUCAGUGUGUGUGUUAGUGGAAGCGUCUGGAAAGGCGCGCGAUACAGGGUGACAGCCCCGUACACAAAAAUGCACAUAUUGUGAGCUCGAUGAGUAGGGCGGGACACGUGGUAUCCUGUCUGAAUAUGGGGGGCCCAUCCUCCAAGGCUAAAUACUCCUGACUGACCGAUAGUGAACCAGUACCGUGAGGGAAAGGCGAAAAGAACCCCGGCGAGGGGAGUGAAAAAGAACCUGAAACCGUGUACGUACAAGCAGUGGGAGCACGCUUAGGCGUGUGACUGCGUACCUUUUGUAUAAUGGGUCAGCGACUUAUAUUCUGUAGCAAGGUUAACCGAAUAGGGGAGCCGAAGGGAAACCGAGUCUUAACUGGGCGUUAAGUUGCAGGGUAUAGACCCGAAACCCGGUGAUCUAGCCAUGGGCAGGUUGAAGGUUGGGUAACACUAACUGGAGGACCGAACCGACUAAUGUUGAAAAAUUAGCGGAUGACUUGUGGCUGGGGGUGAAAGGCCAAUCAAACCGGGAGAUAGCUGGUUCUCCCCGAAAGCUAUUUAGGUAGCGCCUCGUGAAUUCAUCUCCGGGGGUAGAGCACUGUUUCGGCAAGGGGGUCAUCCCGACUUACCAACCCGAUGCAAACUGCGAAUACCGGAGAAUGUUAUCACGGGAGACACACGGCGGGUGCUAACGUCCGUCGUGAAGAGGGAAACAACCCAGACCGCCAGCUAAGGUCCCAAAGUCAUGGUUAAGUGGGAAACGAUGUGGGAAGGCCCAGACAGCCAGGAUGUUGGCUUAGAAGCAGCCAUCAUUUAAAGAAAGCGUAAUAGCUCACUGGUCGAGUCGGCCUGCGCGGAAGAUGUAACGGGGCUAAACCAU